UGAGGACAGUGCCUGGUGGGUAGUUUGACUGGGGCGGUCUCCUCCCAAAGAGUAACGGAGGAGCACGAAGGUGGGCUAAUCACGGUCGGACAUCGUGAGGUUAGUGCAAUGGCAUAAGCCCGCUUAACUGCGAGAAUGACGGUUCGAGCAGGUGCGAAAGCAGGUCAUAGUGAUCCGGUGGUUCUGUAUGGAAGGGCCAUCGCUCAACGGAUAAAAGGUACUCCGGGGAUAACAGGCUGAUACCGCCCAAGAGUUCAUAUCGACGGCGGUGUUUGGCACCUCGAUGUCGGCUCAUCACAUCCUGGGGCUGAAGUCGGUCCCAAAGGGUAUGGCUGUUCGCCAUUUAAAGUGGUACGCGAGCUGGGUUUAGAACGUCGUGAGACAGUUCGGUCCCUAUCUGCCGUGGGCGUUGGAUGAUUGAGAGGGGCUGCUCCUAGUACGAGAGGACCGGAGUGGACGAACCUCUGGUGUUCGGGUUGUGUCGCCAGACGCAUUGCCCGGUAGCUAAGUUCGGAAUCGAUAACCGCUGAAAGCAUCUAAGCGGGAAGCGAGCCUCAAGAUGAGUCAUCCCUGAUACUUUAAGUAUCCUAAAGGGUUGUUGGAGACUACGACGUAGAUAGGCAGGGUGUGUAAGCGCUGUGAGGCGUUGAGCUAACCUGUACUAAUUGCCCGUGAGGCUUAACCAUACAACACCCAAGGGGUUU
rnacentral:rRNA from 1 species